rnacentral:misc_RNA from 1 species
CCCACCUCUAACGCCCAGCACAAGGCUCAGCAAGCCUCUCCCGCCGCGUUACUCCAGCCACAAUCUAUCUGUGUGUGUGUGUGUGUGUGUUUGGAGGGGGGGAUUCGCCCGCUGCGCGCGUCGUUACCGUUGCUCUUAGUCUUUGGUCUCGUGUUAUCCGCCUUACCGCGUCUCUUCCUGCUCCCGAUCACUCCGUUCACUAGCAGUCGGAAACAACCCGUAGCAUCCAUCUCUAGUAGUAGUACCACCUUCGUUGUAGCCGUCUUGGCCCCCGCCCCCUCCCCCCACUCCGGGUUUGUAGCGCCCGCACGGCACACCUUUUGCCACCCGUAGCGGACGCCGCGGCACCUCAACGACCUCGCCGGGUGGUUGUCGAGGAGGCCCCAACGUGUUCGUUGCCGUCGUUAUUUUUGUUGUUCGCCGAGUCCCCAAAUGAUGCUGCGUCGUGGCUGUGGCACAGCCAUCUCGACGGCGGCAGCAACGGCGAGCACGAGCCUCCGGUGUAGUGCACGCUGCAUUGCAAGCGAGUUCAAGGACAUCCGCCCACGAAGCGGUGGAGCCGCGCCGCCGCCGUCAAUCAGCAACAACGGGCCCAUUCUGCCCAUGGACUUCAACCCGCACAUUGAGUGGUUCGAGUACCCGAAAGAAAUUUUCGAUCCUAAGUUCCCGUACACCCGUGAGGAGAGCAUCCGCAUGACGGAGGAGUCGUGGGAGAGCACGAUGGACGAGAUGGCCAGCAAGUACGGCAUGCGACUGAACAUGUCCUCGAAGCCGACGUUCUGGAUGGCGUGGUUCAUUAUGUUCUUUUACAGCUGGUACACCCUCUGGGGCUGCUACCGCGCCAUGGGCACAGAGCCGGGCUGGUCGCACUUCAAGAACGUCGUGCUGAACCAGCCUACAGUGCCGGUGCUCGAGGAGGAUGACAUCUACCUCGAUCAGUGGAUGCGGCCCGAGAUGCGCGAGAAGUUCAGCCGCUAUGACCGCUUCUGGAACUGGAAGCCCCUGGUGAAACGCGAGGGCGCGAAGACGACGUGGCAGAUUCCGAUGCAGUACGCUGACGAGUCUGAGUGGCGCCACAUGACAAGCCGCUUCUAGCGCUCAUUUUUUGCGUGAGUGCGCACGUUGGCGGCACGCACCAGAGUGCUUGCCGAGCCGCGACGAAAGCAGGAUCCAGGAAGCGCGCCAGUGACGACGCAGGCACACACAGACACCCCCAUCCGCGUCGUGGACGGGCGGCUGUGCAUGUGUUCUCCUCCGCUGGCAGUAUGGCUAGGAGGGCCCUUUGUUUGUCGCAUGUCUCUCUCUCUCUCGCUUGCCCCUUUUCUUACCCACGCCUGCUGGCCGCGGUCCGCGCGUGUCGGAUCGCUUUCGAGCUGUAUGCGCAUGGGUUUGGCAUGUGUGUGUGUGUGGCCCGUUGCGGUGCUGCGCCCCUCCUCCUCUCCUUCGCCGGUAUCCGCGUAUGUGUGGUCCCCCCUUCCCUUCCCCUCCCCCGCUUCGUCCGGCCUCCCUGCGUGCACGGCUUCUUUUGUUCAACCGCUUAUUCAUGAUCUCGCUCACGCGCGUCAUGCAACCCGUCCUCAUUUAUGCAGUUGCGGGUUGCCUGACCGCUUGCUUCGCUGUUCUCUCUCUUUCCUGCCUUACGGCGCGCAUCAGGAC